AGUGGAAUAUCUUUCCUGGUUGUUAUUAUAUAGGCUCCAUCUGUCUUGCAGCCCACGGUGCCUCAUUGUUUCUCAGUUCUAUUUCUCACAAAUCCCUUGAUAUGCUCCCCAAACUCCCUUGCUAUUGUCACUCCACUUCAACACCAAAACCAUUAUCAACUGUAGCUCCGUCCUCUUCCCCCAUACCUCCAGUGCUGCCAUUCAUGUCUUUCCCACUUUGCUGUUGCCAAUGACUGAAGCUGUCUUUUAUCUGUGAUAUUUUCUUUCCCAUAGGGAAGUAUUAUUGUCUUUCAGCUGAAGAAAAUACCCCAUGCAAAACAUGCCUUGGGACUAAUCAGCCUCUUUUCAGCUAUUUUGUUAGCAUUAGGCCCAUAGGAAAUCUGACUGAUACAAAAAGGAAAUGCUCAGAUCAUGAACAGAAAUGUUCAUUUGCCUCCCUCAUGGAAAGAGCCUGCAUAGAACUUUAUUCAAUGGAUAAAGAGGACAGGAGUUCACUUGAAGACCAAUGGCAAGCCUUCUUAUCUAUGUCCACAUUGCAGGGAAGUUUGACUCUGAGCUUGCUUGUGAUGAUAUCAGUUUGUUGUGGAUAGAAAUUAUGAGGACGGCCUAAAUUAAGCACCAUGACUUCAGCCCAGGGACAAAGAGGAGGAGGGAGAAGGAGACAUCAACCUCUGUUUAAAGGACAAUAAAUGCAGUAAUUAUCAGCAUGGAACCAAAGCUUUGUUUCAACUAAAAUUCAGCUAAUCAUGUUUUUUCCCUUCUUUUGUAUCGAGGAGGAAGAAUGCCAGUUGCUCCUACCCUCCCUCCCCAUCCCCAUCUCUCCACCUCCCUUCCCCCAUUAGACAGUAUGUGACUCUCUAGUGACACAAGCACAGACAGACUCAUUACUCAGUUGCUGAUGGUGGAUGCAACCAAUUCUCUCCUGGUCAGAAAGUUGUAAGGAGAUAGGACUUGUUUUUCCCUCGUUCUUCCUGUGUCUGGUACGAUGCUUUGUGCAUAGAGGGUGGCUAAUAAAUGUUAAUUGAAUAAAUGAAUGAAAGAAUGAAUGGCACAAAUACUGGAGCAUGUUGGGUUAUGUUCCUUAUGGGCCCCAGACCCAGACAAAACUGUUAAUUUACUCUAGUUCCCACCACCACUACCGCUUCCUCUUGCUGGCACUUAACCACUUUCAGCACUAUAACCUCUGAAUAUUUUCAGGGCCUCCCCCACUUCUCCCGCCCUCCCCCUCUCCUGCCCACAUCCUCCAACGAUGGCUUCCAACUCAGACUCUGCCCUUUUAAUUUCCUCCCACUAUAGCUUAUACAUUCUGUGAC